GGUAGCAUAAUCACUUGUCCCCUAAAUAGGGACUAGUAUGAACGGCUAAAUGAGGAUCACACUGUCUCUUGUAAUUGACCUAUGAAACUGAUCAUGUAGUCCAAAAGCUACAAUAAAAACACCAGACGAGAAGACCCUGUGGAGCUUAAACCAAAACCAAACUAAUGCCCCUUGGUUUUUAGUUGGGGUAACUUCGGAGAACACUCUAACCUCCGAUAAAAUUUCCAAGACAAACUAGUCAAAACAAUUUCUCGACCCAAUAGCUAAUAAACUAUUUGACCAAUGAACCAAGUUACCCCAGGGAUAACAGCGCUAUCCCCUUUCAGAGUCCCUAUCGACAAGGGGGCUUACGACCUCGAUGUUGGAUCAGGACACCCCAAUAAUGCAGCCGUUAUUAAAGGUUCGUUUGUUCAACGAUUAAAGUCCU
rnacentral:rRNA from 1 species